GGCCUGCUGACUGAACACAGCUGACGUCUCCUGUCUCUGCUUUUUGUGUAAAACAGUAUGGCAAAGAUUCCAGAGCAUCCACCACAAGCCCCCAGGAACAGAGCUUUGAAGCCAGGAAAUACCAGACCAACGUGUGAAGUCAUGCACGAGUCCCGCUGGACUGAUCAUCUGUCACUCCACAGCCAUCUGGGUGAGACCUCAGGCCUGUUUAUGUCUUCAAGCAACCGAACAACAUCGAUAUAAGACUCAGAUGAGUCUUCUUCACUUGAUCCAUCUGCCAUCACCUGUAAAACAAACUCUGCACCGAUACCUCGUCUAAUUUGGGAAUCAUGUUACACCUCACGUGUGUGUGAUGUCUGCGCACAGCUUCGUGUUGCCUCUAGUUCACUCGUGAGGAAAGUAUGAGCCAAUAAUAACGCAGCAUGUGGAGCAGCGUAAGACAAAAACAAAACCAAGCCUCCUUGUAUCUCAAAUCAGCUAAGUGCCACAUAGUCAAAAGAUCCAAUCUCCAAAUCUGGCCUAUCUAGCCAAUGGCUUAUGCAACUAAUUAACUUCACACACCAAAAUUUGAAUUUAAAUUAACAAUUGCGAGAUAUCAUCAGGGGACACAAAGCACCCCACGAAGAAGUUUAUGAUGAAAAAAAGAUGAGUAUUAGAGGAGGCAAUCGGUGAAGUAAGGAGGGCUUUUAGAUGAGGGGAUAUCUCCAAUUACAAUCCACCGUACACUUGUCAGCAGUAAUGAAAUGUUUGCUGAGAGGUUGCUAUUUGUGGCUGCUAGAUUGGAUGAUGCUGCUCCACUGCCCCCACUAACAAUUAUAUUCCACGCAUAAAUUUCCCCGCCAUCUCUCCUAUUGUGUGAACUGUCGGCCAGAUAUACCUACAACUGUCCAAGAAGUCACGGAAUAAUGAAACACUAUUGUGUACAGCAGGUAUGACAUUCUCCCACUGCAGCGGAAAUGUAUCUCAAGAGAGAAAAAGAAGGAAAAAAGGAAAAACUUCUGCUUCUUUUAUUGUUUUUAAAGAAUUACAUAAUGCAUUAAUCACAGUAAAGACAAACCGGCUUUCCCCGCAUGUCAUAAUUGUGCAAGCUUACAAUUAAAUGUAAAAUUAGAUGUAAGAUGUAAAACUCUCUUUUUAUUUUUUCUCUGCUCAGCUUUUCAACUCAAUUGCACAGGGAGCAGAGCAGUAAAGCUUUGAAGAACAGACACACUCUUCAGUCCGUUAGCUUGGCACCACUGCCCAGUGGUUUGCAUACAAUCAGAGCUAAAGUUACAGUUGCUAUCACAGUCAUAUGUACACUUGUGGAAAUAAUCUGCCAUUUUGAUCACUGCUCCGCCGAGGUCAUCUGUAACUGCUGCGAGCGGCUGAAACAUAAGCCAGGUCCAAAUAAUUUCAUCAGAUUUGUGCAGUAUGUAUUUCCAAUUAAAGUGACAUCACAUAAACCUAAUUAGUAUAGAUGCAACCUGCAACUUGAUUUUCCAGUGCAUGGUUUUCUCAUCAAAUUGAUUACAGAGACUCUGCGAGGAAGUGUACUGCACAUACGAAUCUGGUGCUACUGUAGGCGGAUAUAAAAAUGCAUUUGUGAUGUUGCACCUAAAAAGAGCAACAGUCGGGCAUUUGACUCCGGCUACUGCGACGUUAUUCUAAUCACAAUAUGUUAAUGUUAAAUGACUGCAAAGGCCAGGCAUAAUGACAUUUCAAAAAUGCCCUGCUCCCUGUCAAUUUUCUCAGGAAAACACAUCUGUUUUGUGCAAAAUAAAUCAUCGAGUUCUGAUAUGCAAGUAUCACAGACACAAAGAGAAGCUUUGCAUCCUCUUGCAGGUUCAAUUACUGGCCUGUAGGCAGAUGCUAAUCCUAUUCUACGGUUUUAUCAUGAUUGAGAAUGUACAGACCAUUCAAUGACUUCAUGCAAGAGGAGGCAGAGGGUCAACCAAUCACACGAUCGUCUCACACGCACUCACUAGAUAAAAACCACACUCACGUACUACACCAACCACUUUAGCAUAAACUGCAAGUCAGUAACAAGUCAAUAGAGUUGAUUAUUUGCUCUUCUAUCCUACUGUGUAUUGUGCUGUCAGGACAGUCGCCGUGAAAAGUAAUGGAUUAUCGAAAACUAUAAUACACGUGGCACG